AGAGAAGAUGGCAAAGAAAGUAGCAGAGAAGGAAAAACUGAAGAAUUGAGAGAAAAGGGAGAAGAAAAGACAAAAAAAGAGAAGACCUUGCUGGAGAGAGUCUCUGCUCUUUCUGUUCCCCUCUCUACUUAUCUCAGGUAUGUCUAUUUCUGUCAGUUGCUGAAUUGGCUAUGUCUCCACAAGUGGUCAUUCAUCCACUCUGGGCCUGGAUCAGUCCUUGGCAUAUUUAUCAGUCUACAAGAGAAAGACACAGUCACUGCCCUGCAGUGCCUCACAGUCUAGCUGGGGACACAAGACACAUGAAAGAGUGAAAACCUGUGCCAUUUGAUCCCUUUACAAACAAGCCCACAUCAAGGUGUUAUUUUACAACAAAGAGUACAAACACAUAAGGAAAAAAAGUCCUAUGAACAAGAAAGUUCUGGGCUUCCCUGGUGGCGCAGUGGUUGAGAAUCUGCCUGCCAAUGCAGGGAACACGGGUUCGAGCCCUGGUCUGGAAGGAUCCCACAUGCCGCGGAGCAACUGGGCCCGUGCACCACAACUACUGAGCCUGUGCGUCUGGAGCCUGUGCUCCAAACAAGAGAGGCCGCGAUAGUGAGAGGCCCGCGCACCGCGAUGAAGAGUGGCCCACGCUUGCCACAACUGGGGAAAGCCCUCGCACAGAAACGA